CCUACGGGUGGCAGCAGUGAGGAAUAUUGGUCAAUGGGCGCGAGCCUGAACCAGCCAAGUCGCAUGAAGGAUGACUACCCUCCGGGUUGUAACCUUCUUUUAUAAAGGACUAACGUGAGGCACCUGUGCCUUUUUGUUUGUACUUUAUGAAUCAGGAUCGGCUAACUCCUUGCCAGCAGCCUCGGUACUACGGAGGAUCCUCGCUGUAUCCAGAUUUUUUGGGUUUAAAGGGAGCGUAGAUGGGGUUUUAAGUCAGAUGUGAAAGUUUGCGGCACAACGGUAAAAUUGCAAUUGAUACUGGCAGCCUUGAGUAAAGUUGAGGUAGGCGGAAUGCGUGGUGUAGCGGUGAAAUGCUUAGAGAUCACGAAGAACACCGAUGGCGAAGGCAGCUUACUAAGCUGCCACUGACAUUGAGGCUCGAAAGUGUGGGGAGCAAACAGGAUUAGAUACCCCUGUAGUC
rnacentral:rRNA from 1 species